rnacentral:rRNA from 1 species
GACAGAGGCCUCAAGCGUUAGGCGGAAUCACUGGGCUUAAAGCGUGUGUAGGCGGAUCGUUAAGUGUCUUGUGAAAUCCCACGGCUCACCCGUGGAACUGCUGGGCAUACUGGCGAUCUUGGGCCAACUAGGGGCAACUGGAACAAGCGGUGGAGCGGUGAAAUGCGUAGAUAUCGCUUGGAACGCCAACGGUGAAAACAGGUUGCUGGGGUUGUGCC